GACGAACGCUGGCGGCGUGCUUAACACAUGCAAGUCGAACGGAAAGGCCCUGCUUGCAGGGUGCUCGAGUGGCGAACGGGUGAGUAACACGUGGGUGAUCUGCCCCUUACUUUGGGAUAAGCCUGGGAAACUGGGUCUAAUACUGGAUAGGACCAUGCUGUAGGUGGUGUGGUGGAAAGAUUAGUUUCGGUAAGGGAUGAGCUCGCGGCCUGUCAGCUUGUUGGUGGGGUAAUGGCCUACCAAGGCGUCGACGGGUAGCCGGCCUGAGAGGGUGGACGGCCACAUUGGGACGGGGAUACGGCACAGACUCCUACGGGAGGCAGCAGUGGGGAAUAUUGCACAAUGGGCGCAAGCCUGAUGCAGCGACGCCGCGUGGGGGAUGACGGCCUUCGGGUUGUAAACUCCUUUCAGCCAUGACGAAGCCCUUGUGGUGACGGUAGUGGUAGAAGAAGCACCGGCUAACUACGUG
rnacentral:rRNA from 1 species